GUGGGGGAAUAUUGCACAAUGGGCGCAAGCCUGAUGCAGCGACGCCGCGUGAGGGAUGACGGCCUUCGGGUUGUAAACCUCUUUCAGCAGGGAAGAAGCGUGAGUGACGGUACCUGCAGAAGAAGCGCCGGCUAACUACGUGCCAGCAGCCGCGGUAAUACGUAGGGCGCAAGCGUUGUCCGGAAUUAUUGGGCGUAAAGAGCUCGUAGGCGGCUUGUCGCGUCGGUUGUGAAAGCCCGGGGCUUAACCCCGGGUCUGCAGUCGAUACGGGCAGGCUAGAGUGUGGUAGGGGAGAUCGGAAUUCCUGGUGUAGCGGUGAAAUGCGCAGAUAUCAGGAGGAACACCGGUGGCGAAGGCGGAUCUCUGGGCCAUUACUGACGCUGAGGAGCGAAAGCGUGGGGAGCGAACAGGAUUAG
rnacentral:rRNA from 1 species